AUUGAACGCUGGCGGCAGGCCUAACACAUGCAAGUCGAGCGGAUGAAGGGAGCUUGCUCCUGGAUUCAUCGGCGGACGGGUGAGUAAUGCCUAGGAAUCUGCCUGUUAGUGGGGGAUAACGUCCGGAAACGGGCGCUAAUACCGCAUACGUCCUGAGGGAGAAAGUGGGGGAUCUUCGGACCUCACGCUAUCAGAUGAGCCUAGGUCGGAUUAGCUAGUUGGUGGGGUAAAGGCCUACCAAGGCGACGAUCCGUAACUGGUCUGAGAGGAUGAUCAGUCACACUGGAACUGAGACACGGUCCAGACUCCUACGGGAGGCAGCAGUGGGGAAUAUUGGACAAUGGGCGAAAGCCUGAUCCAGCCAUGCCGCGUGUGUGAAGAAGGUCUUCGGAUUGUAAAGCACUUUAAGUUGGGAGGAAGGGAAGUAAGUUAAUACCUUGCUGUUUUGACGUUACCAACAAAAUAAGCACCGGCUAACUUCGUG
rnacentral:rRNA from 1 species